UCUUGUGUUAUCUGGUAUCCUCUGUGCUUGACAUGUCAGACUUCCUGCACGUGCGCUGCAAAGCUAGUCUACACAUACGCGCUAUGCCGAUACCUCCUAGACUAGUCUGAUUUAGGAUCCCACAAUGUUCCUCUGACGGAUCAGGUUUAAUGCAUAUGUGCAAGUACAGCUGAUCUACACAUUCAGUGUGGUCCUAGCCUGGACUCUUGACUAUUCUGCAUGCAAGAAAUUUCACAUAAUCUUUUCCAUUCGUCAUCAGCCAGGUUGCUGAUUACCAGAGUAACUGCCAAGCUUUCAACUCCUUGUCAUCAAUGGGCUGUGAAUGACAGACAGCAUUAAUGUUGGCAAGCUCCCACUCUCCUUUUCGCCUUUCCCAAAUGUAAUUAAACUGCACUAAUACAGCAAAAGAAGAGCUGCAGCUUUAUUUUACUCACCCUAAUAAUUAAAUCACAGAAGCACACAAUGGAGUCAAAUAAACCCAUCAUGGCACAGAAAUUCAGAGGUAAGGGAAGUAUGCAUUUACCCCUUAGAGAAAAAAAAACAUGAGAAAAGAGUCCUCCUUUCUGUUCCUAACAGUACAAUGACUGCACUGUUUGACCUUCAACAAGACAGUAUGUCCAACAUCUGAGUAGCUAGCCACUCUCUGUUGCAGCCUGGUGAAAGGCAUCAAGUGUUUCCUCUUCUGUUGCACCUUCAAUUUAAGCAUAAAUGGAAUAAUUAGCCUCUCCUUGAAAUGAUCUGCUAUUUCUCUGGUAGGGGACAGCUGGAUAAAGGACAGAAAAGAUGUAAUAUACAGUUUGAAUGACACACAACUUACCCACCAGAACAAGAAGGCAUUAUCCUGAUCACGGAGGAAGUCCUGAGCUUUUGGUUUAAAGACUGGGGGUGUCAGAGGAUAACCAGGAGUGAGGAAGAAGGAGAAAAGAGAGUCCUCACUUCACCUGCAGAGGAUGACAGAGGCUUGUAGAAUGCACACUUAUCACUGAACAUUUCUGGGAUAGAUAACUUACCACCAAAUUAAUUUUUGUAUGUUUCUCAGGACUGAGGUGAGUGAAAUGAAGUUACAGGCCUGCAGGAAUGCAAUGGAAUUUGCCCAUAAAGCUGUCCCCCAUUGCUCUAGGAUGGCAAGCAGGCGCUCAUAAGGAGGCUGAGAACUGACUGCCAUGAGCACUGUAAACACAGCUUUGUGGCCA
rnacentral:lncRNA from 1 species